rnacentral:pre_miRNA from 1 species
CAAAUACUCCCUCUGUUCCAUAUUAGUUGUCGCUGAAGUAAAUGUAUCUAGACGUAUUUCAGUGCUAGAUACAUCCGUUUGAGCGACAACAAGUAUGGGACAGGGGAAGUAGUUA